UAAUGUCAUCAUUUUUUUUUAGGUAACAGUAGACACUAGAGGUUGUUCCCCUGUAUCUAACGAUAGCAUAGCAUCUCCAGAAACCUAUGAAGUUAGAAGUCCGACCCCAACUAGUCAGACACCACCAUUAAAAUACAGUCGAGAAUAUGGCUCAAGAGAUUUCACAACAAGAGAAUCACCACACACCCCUCCUAUUCAUAGUACAAGAUACAAUCAUUAUAUCUCAGAAGAGCCGAUUCGUAUAAGAGAUUCUCCCAUAAUAAUUGAUGACCAUUUGUCGCCAACAAUGAAGUCUCCAGAAUCUAUUAUGCAUUCUCAUAGGAAAAGAAGAAUGGACAGGGAAAUGUUACAUAGGAAACAUAAAAAAGAAAAGGCUA
rnacentral:lncRNA from 1 species